GGUCUAUUAGUCUAGUUGGUUAGGACGUCGGAUUCUGAUUGUCGGAAUUUCCGUAGGCCCAGGUUCGAAUCCUGGAUGGACCU
rfam:Colletotrichum salicis strain CBS 607.94 Scaffold_2365.1, whole genome shotgun sequence.